CCUACGGGUGGCUGCAGUGGGGAAUAUUGCACAAUGGGGGAAACCCUGAUGCAGCGACGCCGCGUGAGUGAAGAAGUAUCUCGGUACGUAAAGCUCUAUCAGCAGGGAAGAAAAUGAUGGUACCUGACUAAGAAGCCCCGGCUAACUACGUGCCAGCAGCCGCGGUAAUACGUAGGGGGCAAGCGUUAUCCGGAUUUACUGGGUGUAAAGGGAGCGUAGGCGGCAGCACAAGUCUGAAGUGAAAUCCCGGGGCUUAACCCCGAGACUGCUUUUGAAACUGUGCGGCUGGAGUGCAGGAGAGGUAAGCGGAAUUCCUAGUGUAGCGGUGAAAUGCGUAGAUAUUAGGAGGAACACCAGUGGCGAAGGCGGCUUACUGGACUGUAACUGACGUUGAGGCUCGAAAGCGUGGGGAGCAAACAGGAUUAGAUACCCCGGUAGUC
rnacentral:rRNA from 1 species